rnacentral:misc_RNA from 2 species
CCCACCCCACUCAAAUAUCUCUUUUAUCAGAUGUUUGGAAUACUUUGGAGAAGUGUUUUGUUAUAGAAACACCCUCCAGAAAUUGAUUGGCAGUAUGGUUUGCACUUGAACCAGACGUAAUAAUAAUAAAAUCGUUUGUUUAGGUAUAAUUGUGCUUGUCUCAACCCACCCAUUUUUAUUUUAUUUUAAAUUUUU